GCAGCCCAGGCUUCAGACUGGGAGCAUGGUGUUUGCAACGCCAGGGUUGUGGGUUCGAUUCCCACGGGGGGCC
rnacentral:tRNA from 1 species